AUACGGAGGGUGCAAGCGUUACUCGGAAUCACUGGGCAUAAAGCGCGCGCAGGCGGUCUUUUAAGUUGGAUGUGAAAGCCUACGGCUCAACCGUAGAACUGCAUCCAAAACUAUUAGACUAGAGUGUGGGAGAGGAAGAUGGAAUUAGUUGUGUAGGGGUAAAAUCCGUAGAGAUAACUAGGAAUACCAAAAGCGAAGGCAAUCUUCUGGAACACUACUGACGCUGAGGCGCGAAAGCGUGGGGAGCAAACGGGAUUAGAAACCCCAGUAGUCC
rnacentral:rRNA from 1 species